UACGUAGGGUGCGAGCGUUAAUCGGAAUUACUGGGCGUAAAGCGUGCGCAGGCGGUUCGUUGUGUCGGCGGUGAAAGCCCCGGGCUUAACCUGGGAAUGGCCGUCGAAACUGGCGAACUGGAGUGUGGCAGAGGGGGGUGGAAUUCCGCGUGUAGCAGUGAAAUGCGUAGAGAUGCGGAGGAACACCGAUGGCGAAGGCAGCCCCCUGGGCUGACACUGACGCUGAGGCACGAAAGCGUGGGGAGCAAACAGG
rnacentral:rRNA from 1 species